rnacentral:rRNA from 1 species
CGCGUAGGCGGGGAGGUAGGUCGGGUGUGAAAUCCCUCGGCCCAACCGAGGAACUGCGCCCGAGACUGCUUCUCUUGAGUCCCGGAGAGGAAGAUGGAAUUCCCGGUGUAGCGGUAAAAUGUGUAGAGAUCGGGAGGAACACCGGUGGCGAAGGCGGUCUUCUGGACGGUGACUGACGCUGAGGCGCGAAAGCGUGGGGAGCAAACG